UAUACAAAAAUGCAUAAAAACUAUUAGAAAAAAAAAACGAGAUAAGCAAAAGAAGGAGAAAAAAAAGAUAAAAUUUAUGAAUAAAAACAAAAUAAUAAAUAAUACGUAUUAUAAUACUGGUUAUUAUAAAAGUACAAAACCAGUGGAGUACGGAAUGGGUCAUACAUUAAGUAACAAUGAUUAUAACAGUUGUAAUGAAAGUAAAAAUUGUGUUAAUAUUAAAAAAUAUCGAGUGUUGGAGAAAUACAUUUGUCCAUUACAUGCAUGUUACGAAUGUAAACGUUUGUACAUACAUAUUUUAGAUGAAAAAAACAAAACAUUUAAUAAUCAUAUGAACAAUAAUAUAGACAAUAAUUUGUAUCGAUGUAUAAAAUGUUUAAAAUGUGUACAUUAUUACUGUAUGCACGAUUCUUAUUUUGUUAUAUCUUAUAAAACAAGACUUAUGUUUUGUUUAAGUCACAUACGUUACUACAAGAAACAGCAUAUGAAACUGCUGAAUGUUUCUCAGAGGAUAGGUUCAAAUGGUGUUGAUAGUGUGCGUAGAUAUAUAAAUGAUAAUAAGUAUAGCAUAUAUGACAAAACUGGGAUUGACGGUUUGGAUAGUGGUACGAGUAGCGAUGGUAAAGCUACCAUUAGAGAAAGUAUAAACGAAAAAAGUGUCACUAACAUGAACAACCAUAAUCGAUAUAACGCUUACACGGAAAACACUUUAUAUAGUAUUUCCAAAAUGAAUAGCAAUAGAGGUUCUAACAAAAGCGAUAUGCUUCUCACCUCCCAACCGGAAGCUUUUUAUAAUAAAACGAAAAGCCUCAUAAUGAAAAAACCUUUUUUAACAUAUGACAGAAACAAAAAAAUAACAAAUUCGGUAAAUUCGAAAAAUAAGGAAAAAAUUAAAAUGAUCAAUAAAAACAAACUAUAUAACACUUUAAAUAAUAUUAGUACUAGUUAUACCAACAUACUAGAAAAUCAAAAAAAAAUAUAUUAUGAAAAUGACUGUGACAAUGACAUAAAAGGAGAAAAUAUAGUGAAUGACAUGGGUGAUAUUAACCACAUGAGCAACAUGAGCAAUAUGAGCAACAUGAGCAAUAUGAGCAACAUGAGCAAUAUGAGCAAUAUGAGCAACAUGAGCAAUAUGAGCAACAUGAGCAACAUAAGUAACAUGAGCAACAUAAGUAACAUGAGCAACAUAAGUAACAUGAGCAACAUGAGUAACAUGAACAAACGUGCAGAUGAAUAUAUACAAGAUUUCCAUAGCGAUAUCGAGAUAUUUUCGUUAUCCCCUAUUAAUAGACCUUAUAAUUUUUGGAUGAAUUCAAAUAAAUACUUUAACAACUAUAAUGUUAGUAACAACUAUUAUGAACAUAAUGAAAAUAAAUAUAAGAGUUAUAACAAUUUUAUAACUGAUAUUGGUAACGCAGAAAAUAUAUACAACACAGACAUUAACGGUAACAUAUACAUCGAUAGUUAUACACCGAAUAACCCAAGUGACCAAUAUUUAAAUUGUAAAAAAAUAAUAAACAUAAAUAACGACAAUGAUAAUAAUAGUAAUAAUAAUAGUAAUAAUAAUAGUAAUAAUAAUAAUAAUAAUAGUAAUAAUAGUAAUAAUAGUAAUAA
rnacentral:lncRNA from 1 species